rnacentral:rRNA from 1 species
CUUGUUCAUUUAUAGGAAGUAAAAUUCGUAACAAGGUUUCCGUAGGUGAACCUGCGGAAGGAUCAUUG